GACAGAGGGUGCAAACGUUGUUCGGAUUUACUGGGCGUAAAGCGCGUGUAGGCGGCUUGGCAAGUCGGAUGUGAAAGCCCACGGCUCAACCGUGGAAGCGCAUCCGAAACGGCCUCGCUCGAGUCUCGGAGAGGAAGGUGGAAUGCUUGGUGUAGAGGUGAAAUUCGUAGAUAUCAAGCAGAACACCUGCGGCGAAGGCGGCCUUCUGGACGAUGACUGACGCUGAGACGCGAAAGCGUGGGGAGCGAACCGG
rnacentral:rRNA from 1 species